GCUUCCUGUUGUGCAAUCUACAAGGGUACGUAGAUCCAAAUCUCCUCUCGUAGAUGGACACCACCAUGAUAGAUCUUCGUGUGCGUAGGAAAUUUUUGUUUCCCAUGCAACAUUCCCCAACAGUCUCGAGGGCAUGACUAUGUGUGGAACUCGGCAGGCGGCUGGUGGCUGUGGUUCGGUCACGCGGCUGAUGGUGGGGCCAACUGGUUUGGUCUGUGGAGGGGAGGACGAUGCCAAGCGAAAGUCUGUCUGUGACCAUGCUCGGAGCCGGCAGCGGCGGUGUCUACGGGCGUCGUUGCCUUCUUGAAGGCGUUGUUGUGGUGAUGUGCUCCUCUCCCUUAUCAUCUCCUUCUCCGAGGGAAACCUUAGAUAUGUGCUCUCUCAGAUCGGAUGAUGACGGCGCAUUGUGUCGUUUCCCUCUUGUGGGCAUCAUUUUUGGAGUAGGGAUUAGCCGGAGGGACCAACGGUGAAGUGGUGGAGGUGGUGCGACUGCUUGGAGUCGACGGUGGUUGUUCGAUGGUGUUCUUGGGGGCUUUGCGGCGGUGCCUUUGGCGUUAUAGGGCGUCCAUCUGUUUUCCCCCUUGUGAGCUCGACCAUUCUUUGAUGUGGUUAUGAUUCUUCCUUCCGAAGUCGGGUUAGCUGGGUGUGCUCCUCUCCGGACCACUUCGUUCCCGUACGACACCUCUCCUUGUGGGUGUUGUUGGGUGGUGACCAGACGGACAACGUUCAAGGCUCUCCUCGCUUGAUCAGAUGAAGUUGGAUGUUGAGGCCCCCUUUGUGUUGGUUGUGCUGGUGGUGUUUUUCUUCAUGUCCUUCUCUUCGGCUGCCCUUUGGGUGACUUCUGUGCUUGCUCAAGACACUAUCAUGGUUGCCGUUGUGCUGCGGCGAGCUUCAGGCUCUUGGAGUGGCCUUGGUUCAUCUUUGGUCAAUGACGAAGCAAUGAUGCCUCCCCAACCUGCUAAUCGUUUCGACCUCCCGUGGCAGAUCUUCCAGUCAAGGUUCGUGUUUAGUUCGACACUCGUUGGUUAUGGUUGAUCCUUUGUUGUGCCGUGGGGCUCGAUACGCACGUCAGUGCGGUGCGUCAGGUUAUUUGCAGAGUAUUGCUAUAAUGGAUCUGGUGAGGAUUUUUGUCAGGCAAUGAAAAGUGUUGUGCUCGGACGCCAAUGGUAUGCUUCUUCUCCGAUGUUUAAGGCUUCUGAACCAUCGAAGAGGGCAGUUGUUUAGGGUCGUCUGGUGACCGUAUCGAGGUUGACAGAGUCAAGGGUGGUUUUGGUGUUGUUGUUGCAUAUCUCUAUGUUCCCUCUCUUUUGCCAUGUCAAUUGCUUUGUAAUAGGGCUUAAAAUUAGCUGAACUUGCCUAUUUGUUUCUCUAAUCGCCGCUCAGGCUGUCCUCCGAGGACUCAUACUUUUGCUGAUGCUUUGCCUUGGCUUUAAUAAAAUUGGGGCUGGAGGGAGACC
rnacentral:lncRNA from 1 species